UAAGUAUGCACCUCUUGCGAAAUGAAAUUUCCUAUACAAAACCUAUGCAUAAAAAACGUCGCGAAAUGCUCGCGAAAAAAUUUUUCAUUUCCAUUUCGUAAGCGGUACGCAGCUCUCGCGAAAACGAUACCGAAAUUUCCAAUUAGCCGAGACACGGUUCGACAAACGAUAAGUUUCAUAUUACUUCCGCGAGAUUGCGCUGCUUUCUAUGCGCUGUCACUACGGCAAGCUUUUUCCUUGCGAAAUAAUGAUCAGUGGUAUUAUUCCGCUCGGAGGCUUGCGAAAUUUUGACAGAAUGCGAUAAAAAAAUACAAAAAAAAACAAGAUUUGUGAAUUUUUUGUAUUUUUUCAUCACAAGCUGUCAACAUGUAUAGAAUUUGCUUUUGCGAUGCAAUCGGUCGAAACGAUGGCAAGUGCUGCUGAUAACUGAGUCAAAAAGGCAGAGGAUCAGGAAAUUUAUGCUCUCGUAAGUGCCUAACCUGUUUUUGGAGCGAUCAUUGUUUCAUAGGAUUUGUAUUUUUCUUUUCAAUACAAAAGGUAGCGAUCCGAGUAUCACCAAGGAUAAGAAACCGGAGCCGGCGGUUGGCAGUCCGGGAAAAGAGGAUGCGGAAAAACCUAGUCCAUCGGCAGUAGAACCAGCGACGGUUACUCCCGUAGAAACGGCUGCACCUGCAGUUUUGAGUUCGUUAAUUAUGGAAAUUCUGACUGGCUGCUCCUGAAGAAAGACAAGCUGCUAGUGGAAAUAGAAAAACAGCUUCCUACACGGCAGAUGCAGAUGCAUUCAACCCGGAGAAUGCAAAAAAACUUUCGAAGCUUUGCACAUGAAGCCGGAACUGCUUCAGGGAGUCUAUGCUAUGGAUUCCAACGCCCCUUCCAAGAUUCAGGAAACGGCUCUACCUACUCUGUUGGCCGAUCCGCCCAGCACAUGAUCGCCCAGUCAGUCAGAAACAAGAAAAACCGCUGCUUUCGCGCUGACAAUGCUCAGUCGAGUCGAUCCGUUAAAAAAACUAUCCGCAGGUGAUUUGCCUUUCCCUUACGUAUGAACUGGCAAAUCAGAAGGGGGUAGCAGCUGCCAAAAUUACAAAGUUAUGUCCGGAAAUCAAAUUUAGUUACCUCAUCCGCGGCGAGGAGAUUGUCAAAGGAGCGAAGCUGAUUAAUCAUAUCAUCAUCGAAACACCCGGUAAGCUGAUGGACUGGAAUAUAAAAUUCAGGCGUUCGACCUUGAGAAAUUGCCGUUUGUGUACUAAACGAAGCGGGCGUUAUGAUCGCUGUUCUUGGCCACCUACGAGCGGGAGGUAAUGGAGUUCGCCGAGUACAUCUUACCCGAUCCGAUCGUGAUUCAGCUAGCGCGGGAGCAAGAAUCACUAGAUAACAUCAAACAGCACUACAAUAAGUACCGCAACCAGGACGAGAAAUAUCAAGCAAUUUCGAUCAUCUUUGGCGUGAUUACCAUCGGAUAUGCGAUCAUUUUCUGUCGUGUGAGUAUAGGACAGUUGUGAUUGGCAUUGUUAAUCGAUGGAAACAGACACGCAAAACGGCAGAUAGGAUGGUCAUUCGGUAGCGGUACUGUCCGGUGAUUUAACGGUGGAGCAAUGGUUUGCCGGUCUGAAUCGAUUCCGAGCCGGACUAAAGAAGGUAUUGAUUACAACGAACGUUUUGUCUUGGGGUAUCGAUGUCGAACAGGUGACCAUUGUAAACUUCAUCCUGUCGAUGGAUCAGUAGAGACGAGCCGAUUGCGAAACGUAUCUGCAUCGAAUUGGACGCACCGGUAAAUUCUGCAUCGCCAUCAACCUGGUGGGCAGUGAUCGAAGCAUGAUGAUUUGCAGAUCAUUCGAAAAACACUUCCAGAAAAAGAUUCAGCUGCUAGACGCGGAGAACUCGGACGUUAUUGAAAAGAUCGGAUCGUAGUGUUUUCGACCAGCUACUGGUGAAAGGCGCUGGAGCUUUUUUGGUUCAUUAUUGUUCCGAUUGUGAAUCUAUAACUUUAUUUAGCUCUAUCAGUUGAUUUCCUUAGGAUUUAAUUCAAGGAUCGGUAACGCGAGGAUUGUGAAGUGCAUGUUUAAUUGUUAUAACUUGGAGUUAAGUGAACCACAGAUAACAGACGUUUAAGCUCGAUUUGAAUCGUGUAUAAAAACCCGCUACUGAAAUUCCGAAUAAAUUAGACGUCUGAAACACGUUUGGCAAACGUUUGCAGAUGACGCAGUGAUCAAUACAAUGCAGUUAGAGUGCAGCUGUUAAACACGUGUAGCAAACAGUUGCGCAGAUGGCAAUAGUGAAACACGGAUAUCCAACGUUUAUCAAUUUGAAAGUUUACACAGGUUUUGAAGAAAUUUUGUUCUAGCCUAAACGUCUUUUAUCUGUGGGUAAACUCUUGAAGAAAACGACUUUGUUUUUUUAUUUUGUCGUUGGACGGCCAGUAGAGGAAAGUGGCAAGAAUUUUUCCAAAACACCUUGAAGAAGAAGAUGAAAAAUAUUUUGUUCAAUACCAUGUAAAUAAAUAUUUCAAGAAAAUAGA